ACGAGUUAGGGUCUUCUAGGCUCGACCUCCCAACCCCAUGUUUACUGAACUCAUGUUGCUUCGGCAGGCCCGUCUCACGACCGCCGGGGGACCGUAAGACGUCCUCUGGCCCGCGCCCGCCAGUGGCCAAACCGAUAAAUUCUGAUAAAACCGUGUUAACUGUCUGAGUUCCAUUCUUAAUUAAAGCAA
rnacentral:misc_RNA from 1 species